GGACUACCGGGGUAUCUAAUCCUGUUUGCUCCCCUUGCUCUCGCGCCUCAGCGUCAGGUAUAAGCUAGAAAACCGCUUUCGCCACAGGUGUUCCUCCACAUAUCUACGCAUUUCACCGCUACACGUGGAAUUCCGUUUUCUCCGCCAUCCCUCAAGAUAAAUAGUUUCAAAUGCAGCUCCAAAGUUGAGCCUUGGAAUUUCACAUCUGACUUAUCUAUCCGCCUACGCGCCCUUUACGCCCAAUAAAUCCGAUUAAUGCUUGCACCCUCCGUAUUACCGCGGCUGCUGGCAC
rnacentral:rRNA from 1 species